rnacentral:rRNA from 1 species
UGGAUGAUCCCGCGGCGUAUUAGUUAGUUGGUGAGGUAAAGGCCCACCAAGACGAUGAUACGUAGCCGACCUGAGAGGGUAAUCGGCCACAUUGGGACUGAGACACGGCCCAAACUCCUACGGGAGGCAGCAGUAGGGAAUCUUCCACAAUGGACGAAAGUCUGAUGGAGCAAUGCCGCGUGAGUGAAGAAGGGCUUCGGCUCGUAAAACUCUGUUGUUAAAGAAGAACACCUUUGAGAGUAACUGUUCAAGGGUUGACGGUAUUUAACCAGAAAGCCACGGCUAACUACGUGCCAGCAGCCGCGGUAAUACGUAGGUGGCAAGCGUUGUCCGGAUUUAUUGGGCGUAAAGCGAGCGCAGGCGGUUUUUUAAGUCUGAUGUGAAAGCCUUCGGCUUAACCGGAGAAGUGCAUCGGAAACUGGGAGACUUGAGUGCAGAAGAGGACAGUGGAACUCCAUGUGUAGCGGUGGAAUGCGUAGAUAUAUGGAAGAACACCAGUGGCGAAGGCGGCUGUCUAGUCUGUAACUGACGCUGAGGCUCGAAAGCAUGGGUAGCGAACAGGAUUAGAUACCCUGGUAGUCCAUGCCGUAAACGAUGAGUGCUAAGUGUUGGAGGGUUUCCGCCCUUCAGUGCUGCAGCUAACGCAUUAAGCACUCCGCCUGGGGAGUACGACCGCAAGGUUGAAACUCAAAGGAAUUGACGGGGGCCCGCACAAGCGGUGGAGCAUGUGGUUUAAUUCGAAGCUACGCGAAGAACCUUACCAGGUCUUGACAUCUUCUGCCAAUCUUAGAGAUAAGACGUUCCCUUCGGGGACAGAAUGACAGGUGGUGCAUGGUUGUCGUCAGCUCGUGUCGUGAGAUGUUGGGUUAAGUCCCGCAACGAGCGCAACCCUUAUUAUCAGUUGCCAGCAUUCAGUUGGGCACUCUGGUGAGACUGCCGGUGACAAACCGGAGGAAGGUGGGGAUGACGUCAAAUCAUCAUGCCCCUUAUGACCUGGGCUACACACGUGCUACAAUGGACGGUACAACGAGUUGCGAAGUCGUGAGGCUAAGCUAAUCUCUUAAAGCCGUUCUCAG